ensembl:lncRNA MIR924HG MIR924 host gene
CACAUGCAGACCAUAUUGAAAUACGCAGAGAAUUCCAUGGAGACUCUGAUGGCUAGGGCACCGUUGAGCUGUUGCAACUGUUCUGCUGGAGCCUUAUGUAUGUGGUUGAAACCACCUGUACUACUGGAAUGAAAGCACCUUUACAGAAGAGGCAAUGCAAGUUGUAUUCAUCACAUGUGUAGAAUGAAUUAAGAUUUAUGCCAGUUGCAAAGAAGAAUAUUGGCUCACUAUUUUUCCUCUGGGCAUAGUUGUACUGCGACAUUAGCUCUUUUGACUAGAUGUGAUGACAGACUGUCUUUGGUCCAUUCUCUUUUAUUGCCUUGGAAGAGAAUAAAUGAGGAGUAGUUCUCACCCAUUGCAGCUGAGGCAUCACACCUGUAAUGGGAUUAACAAGAUGAUAAUAUAUCUUUUGCCAAGACCACAUACUAGCAGACCAUAUGAUGUCCUGAAAAUUCUUCCACAAUAUUUAACCAACACUUUCCAGAAAAACUUCAUUUAUCUCCAUGUACCAAUAUUUUGGGGUCCAGCCCAAUUCCUGUCCCUUCAGUGAAGCCUUAUUUAAUUUUACCAAUAAAUAAUAGCUCUCUUUUUUGAAUA